AUCCCGUCUGGACUUCGGCUUUCUGAGCCGCUUGUUGGUGCGACUACCAAUAAUGAAGCGGGCCGGAUUCAAGGCCUGUCUGGAAGUUGACACCUGGCACACAUAAACCGGGCCCGAGUGAGCUGCUCUGGUUGGAACAGAUGAGAUGGCACAAUCCAACCCUGACAGCUGUUCGGGAAUCAGUUUCCUCUUCAACCACAGGGCUGGAAGACCAGCGUCCUAAAACAUAAAAACCGUUCCCGAACCAGCUACUGAUCCGGAAGUGGAGCGCUGGCACACGUUUCAAUUGUAAUAAAAUAAAUAAAUUAAAACAAAAAUUAUAUAAAAUUACAAUAUAAUAAAGUAGACACAUUAUUCUGAUAAUGAUAACAACAAAGGAGAAUUUAUUUUGAAUAUUAAUUUUAAAAUAUAAAGACAAUAGAAAAAGAAAUAUUGACCAUCAUCAUCAUCUGAUCUCCCCCUGCUACUCUUCCUCCUUUUGCUGUGUGCUACUGACACGAUUUUCCUGUUCACGUUGGAGGAAGUGAUGAGGGAACUCCGCACAAGCCCACAGCACAGAACAGCAUGCGGUGCAUCAGCAGCAGAUCAGUUAGGCCUGGGUGGAGUUAGGUUCUGCACUAUGAAAUAAAUAUGAAGGCUAAUAAAUAUGUUUGAUAUAGCACUGUGACAUCUGAGGAAAAUGACAGCAUAUCUAAAUAAUCAUAUUAAACCACUUGCGUUUUUUCUGGAAUAAUAAUCAAGGGUUAAAAGUGAUGUCAGCCUGGUAUAAAGGGUGUGAGGAUGACAUCAUGGUUUGGUUUCAUCUGGAGAAGCAGUGGAUUCUCUCAUGAUUGUCUCUUGUGAUUGUCUCUUGUUUGAUCACAAUGGAGUCAGCAUGUGUAGAUAUGCGUUUGUGAACAUAUUAUAAGAAGUGUCAGAUGACAGAACCUUCAUACAUUAUUAACAAAAUGUACUUGUUUGGAAACAAAAAGCUGAUUUAGUUUAGCUUCCAUGGUUCCUUUAUGUUUUAAGACAUGGAGUUUAUAUUUAACACAUAGCCUACAUGGAGAGACAGUAGCUGGUAUUUUACAGGAUUAGACAGAAAACAAUCAAAUCAAGGGAGGGCAGUCUCAGAAAUGUGCUUCCGUCGUUUCUUUGUGGGUGUUGACCAGUGUUGUUACUAACAGCAUGGAAAGUUCAGCCAGCGUAACAGCGGAAAGCAGGAGCCAAUAUAGGGCCCCUGUGUGAUGUCUUUACUUCCAUUUGGAGGCUGGAGGGUGCCAAAGCUUGAGUGGCAAAAACAGAGGUGACUGUUUUUAGAACAGGUGGGGGAUUCGUGGUAAGCUGGAUACUGUGCAUUGAACUGG